ACCACGCGGUUUGGGUCACUGCAGCUUUCGCUGAGAAGCCAUAAAAGCUCAACGCCCCGGCUCUGCUCGUGCCAUCGACCACCAGAGCAACCAGAACGUCCUGACCAUGGCUGCGAAAGUUUCGUCACUCUUCCUCGCCGUUCUUUUGCUAGCCAGUCUGGCCCUUGUCCCGCCGGCAGUUGGGUGGAGGACAUGCUGAAGGGUGACCGCGAAAAGAUGGAAACGCCAUUGAAGCCUGCCAACACAGGCGGCAUGGGAGCCACCGGAGCUGAAGAAGAGAAGGGGUACUUCGCAGGACAGUCUUCGGGCGCCUUCCCCCGUGCAGCCGGGCGAUGCUCUGCUGAAGCUAAUCACGAUUACCCAAUAAAUCAUGCCUUGUUUCUCUCGAUGUCAGUUCAGACUUCAGAGCUAUGUUCUCCAAUCUCCACUAUUCGAUCCUGAUAGAGAGUCAUCACCGGCUUUGUAAAUGUUAAGUGAUCCCAUUGUACUGUAGUACAUUAUUCCCCAGUUUGUCAAAGAAAAGUGGAUAUGUAUUCCUUAAUAGAAGUGCAUAAUUAUGUAAA